rnacentral:rRNA from 1 species
AUGUUUGGUGCUGGCUUGGUCGAGACUAUUGGGUGGACCUUUAUGUACCUCUUAGUGGGGCAGCAUGAACCAUGUACAAGGGAGGAAAGUGACGUCUACAUCCUGGGGUUCAUCGGGCUUUACCUUCGUUCAGCGCUUAGCUCGGAGCAGCUAGAUCACCUUCGGCAGAGAAUUGCAUACGAGAUUGUGAUCAUGAUGGGAACACGGGAGAUCUCCCAGAUUUCCUGUGCGAGGAGAUCAUUGACUGAAGGGAAUGAAUUGUGGUUCAGCAUUCGUGCUGGCUGUUCAGAUCUUUGGUCCGUGCGACGCGAGUGCUAUGUCCGUAGAAGUGCCCCUCUUAUGUUUCGGGGGCUUUUGGAGCACCCCAACCCCCAGCAGAACCUGAAAUCCAAUGAAACUUCUUUGAAUUUGUACUUUUUUAAGACCUAA